CAGAAUUUUAUACUGGACUUCUCCAAGGGUUGAUACCAAUCAAUUAGGGUUGACAUCCAUCUACAAUAUCACAAUAUCACUCUCCAAGGGAUGACAUCAAUGAGAACCAACAAUCCAAACCAAUUGUCUGACAUUUUGUUUUCAUUUUUAUGUUUCUUUUAUUGUAUUUAAUACAAUUAUUAUAUAAUUAAUAUUAACCUUAUAAGUAUAAUCGAAUCAAAACUGGAAUGGACAAGGGAAAUCUGAUUGUUUAAUAAAAACAAAGAAUUACGAUGGUCCCUACAGAUGUUGAUGCAAUGUGAUUUAUUCUGAGUGCUCUACAUCUCAAAGUGAACAAAUUCAACCAAGCGUGGGUAAACGACAUGAGUAAAUAUGACUCUCUUAAGGUAUCCAAAUGCCUCAUCAUCUAAUUAGUGGCAUGCAUGAAUGGAUUAACACAAUUCCCACCAUCCAUAUAUAAUAUCUAGAGAAACCAUAACCAAGGGAACGAGAUUGGAAAAAUAAGUGUGGAAAAAAGACCCUAUCGAGCUUGACUCUAGUCCGACUUUUUGAAAUGACUCGAGAAGUGUAGAAUAAGUGGGAUUUUUUUCAGUGCAAGUGAAAUACAACCACUUUUAACAUUAUUUUACUUGUUUUGUGGUACAGAGACAGGUUAUUGCCCCUGUUUUUGGCCAUAAUAUAUGUUUCGAUGGGUCGAUCUGGCCGAAAGACAUUGUGAGGUGGGGAGUUUGGUUGGGGUGACACAUCUGUUAAAAGAUAAUGCAUGUGUCCUAAUAUGAUCUCAACGAGAACACAAAUCUCUUGCGGAAAAAAAGGGUAAAAUAUCAUUUGAUUUUCCACCAACCUCUUGAUCCUUAUAAUUCAUUGAUGGAUAUGAAUUAAUACAUCAAUUAUAUGUUUUCAUGCAUACACAAAGCUAAUCUAAAAUACUAAUUUCUUGAGUAAGAUUAAGUGGCCAAUUGUGUAUUUGGAGGAACGGUUCAUGCAACCCCAGGAGAGG
rnacentral:ncRNA from 1 species